GACGAACGCUGGCGGCGUGCCUAAUACAUGCAAGUCGAACGCUUCUUUCCUCCCGAGUGCUUGCACUCAAUUGGAAAGAGGAGUGGCGGACGGGUGAGUAACACGUGGGUAACCUACCCAUCAGAGGGGGAUAACACUUGGAAACAGGUGCUAAUACCGCAUAACAGUUUAUGCCGCAUGGCAUAAGAGUGAAGGGCGCUUUCGGGUGUCGCUGAUGGAUGGACCCGCGGUGCAUUAGCUAGUUGGUGAGGUAACGGCUCACCAAGGCCACGAUGCAUAGCCGACCUGAGAGGGUGAUCGGCCACACUGGGACUGAGACACGGCCCAGACUCCUACGGGAGGCAGCAGUAGGGAAUCUUCGGCAAUGGACGAAAGUCUGACCGAGCAACGCCGCGUGAGUGAAGAAGGUUUUCGGAUCGUAAAACUCUGUUGUUAGAGAAGAACAAGGACGUUAGUAACUGAACGUCCCCUGACGGUAUCUAACCAGAAAGACACGGCUAACUACGUG
rnacentral:rRNA from 1 species